CUUGAGCUUAUGGGAGGUAUACUCUCUGCCCGAUUGGCGAGGAACAUUAAUAGAAAAACACUGACCGUUGGCAAGACAACUUUCUGGACGGAUUCAACCAAUGUCUUGUACUGGGUACGCAGCAAAAGCCGUUCAUUUAAACCGUUCGUGGCAAAUAGAGUAGCGGAAAUUCAACGUAUAACCGACCCUGAAGAGUGGCGUCAUAUCCCAGGGGAAGAGAACCCAGCAGAUCUACCGACUAGAGGUC